rnacentral:rRNA from 1 species
UACGUAGGGGGCAAGCGUUAUCCGGAUUUACUGGGUGUAAAGGGAGCGUAGACGGCAGGGCAAGUCUGGAGUGAAGGGCAGGGGCCCAACCCCUGGACUGCUCUGGAAACUGUCCGGCUGGAGUGCAGGAGAGGUAAGUGGAAUUCCUAGUGUAGCGGUGAAAUGCGUAGAUAUUAGGAGGAACACCUGUGGCGAAGGCGGCUUACUGGACUGUAACUGACGUUGAGGCUCGAAAGCGUGGGGAGCAAACAGG